rnacentral:rRNA from 1 species
UGGGGAAUCUUAGACAAUGGGCGCAAGCCUGAUCUAGCCAUGCCGCGUGAGUGAAGAAGGCCUUAGGGUCGUAAAGCUCUUUCGCCAGGGAUGAUAAUGACAGUACCUGGUAAAGAAACCCCGGCUAACUCCGUGCCAGCAGCCGCGGUAAUACGGAGGGGGUUAGCGUUGUUCGGAAUUACUGGGCGUAAAGCGCACGUAGGCGGAUUAGAAAGUUAGAGGUGAAAUCCCAGGGCUCAACCCUGGAACUGCCUUUAAAACUCCUAGUCUUGAGUUCGAGAGAGGUGAGUGGAAUUCCAAGUGUAGAGGUGAAAUUCGUAGAUAUUUGGAGGAACACCAGUGGCGAAGGCGGCUCACUGGCUCGAUACUGACGCUGAGGUGCGAAAGUGUGGGGAGCAAACAGGAUUAGAUACCCUGGUAGUCCACACCGUAAACGAUGAAUGCCAGUCGUCGGGUAGUAUACUAUUCGGUGACACACCUAAC